AUGUACGAUGGCUUCCUCCAUCCGCUGGUGUCGUGGCACGAGGCUGACAUCGACCGGGGCCUACUUGAGCUGAGGGCUAGUGCGAGGGACGUGACGGCGUCACAACUCAAGGCGGCGGCUGCCAUCGGUCAAGUGUGGCUCGUCAAGGCUGCCCGCUAUGUUUCGUCGCAGCUGCAGGCCGCGAGAUCAGGCCGGGAAGGCGCCACACAUUGA
rnacentral:rRNA from 1 species